rnacentral:pre_miRNA from 1 species
UCCGUCCUACCUCCGUUCGGAAUUAUUUGUCAUAAAAAUGGAUGUAUCUACAACUAAAAUACAUCUAGAUACAUUCAUUUCUUGGACGAGUAAUUCCGAACGGAGGAAGUAUACU